AUGGCUCAGAACGAACGCUGGCGGCGCGUUUAAGCAUGCAAGUCGAGCGGCAAGGGCCUUCGGGCCCCUAGAGCGGCGGACGGGUGAGUAACACGUGGACAAUCUGCCCCCCGGCCCGGGAUAGCCCAGGGAAACCUGGAUUAAUACCGGAUGAGACGGGACCCGCGAUGGCGGGAUCCGGGAAAGGCGCUGCGGCGCCGCCGGGGGAUGAGUCUGCGUCCCAUUAGCUAGACGGCGGGGUAACGGCCCACCGUGGCGACGAUGGGUAGCCGGCCUGAGAGGGUGGACGGCCACAUUGGAACUGAGACACGGUCCAGACUCCUACGGGAGGCAGCAGCUAAGAAUCUUCCGCAAUGGGCGAAAGCCUGACGGAAGCGACGCCGCGUGAACGAAAAAGGCCGUGAGGUUGUAAAGUUCUUUUCGGGAGGGGGAACAACCGUGGCAGGGAAUGGCCGCGGGAUGACGUGAAUCCCGGAAUAAGCCCCGGCUAACUACGUGCCAGCAGCCGC
rnacentral:rRNA from 1 species